UCAAUUAGAGGAAAGUGGGCAGUUGGGUUAAGCUUAUUCUGUUUUCUCCAACAAUCAUUUUCCUCACAUUA
rnacentral:ncRNA from 1 species